CUCUAUGGCCUUAAGCAAGCCCCUCGCGCCUGGUUUGCGCGUUUUGCCUCUGUGGUCACUACUGCUGGUUUUUCAGCAAGUGCUCAUGAUCCAGCAUUGUUUAUUCACCUUUCUCCUCGUGGUCGGACUCUUCUUCUCUAUGUUGAUGACAUGAUCAUCACUGGGGAUGACCCCGAGUAUAUUGCCUUUGUAAAGGCACGUCUUAGUGAGCAGUUUCUUAUGUCUGAUCUUGGACCUCUUCGCUACUUUCUUGGGAUUGAAGUCUCUUCUACCUCUGAUGGCUUUUUUAUAUCCCAGGAAAAGUAUAUCCAGGAUCUUCUUGCUCGUGCUGCUCUUACUGACGAGCGCACUGUUGAGACUCCUAUGGAGCUCAAUGUUCACCUUCGUGCUACUGAUGGUGUUCCUCUCCCUGACCCGACGCGUUAUCGUCAUCUCGUUGGCAGUCUUGUCUAUCUAGCUGUCACUCGUCCGGACAUCUCUUAUCCGGUUCAUAUUCUGAGUCAGUUUGUCUCUGCUCCCACAUCG
rnacentral:rRNA from 1 species